GAGAAAAAGCAGCUUGGUGCUGUCAAAUUUUUGAGGAAAAGAGAGUUGAAAGUGCUGCCAUCGGAGGAGGAAGAAAACGACCCAAGGAAGAGAGGAAGCCACGGUGGUGAAGAGAGGAAGACAUGGUGGUGAAGGGAGUGACGAUGAAAGAGAGAAAAAAGAAAGAAAAAGAAAAGAACAGAAAAGAAGUAGAAAAUAAAAAUAUGCAUGGCCCAAAUAGAAAAUAAAAAUGGGCAUGACCCAAAUAGAAAAUAAAUGGGCAUGACCCAAUAGAAAAUAAGUGGGCAUGGCCUAAUAGAAAAUAAAAAUAAAUAGAUUUGGCCUAAAUAGGAAAAAUGGAGAAGCCCAUGGAAAAGGCCCAAUGGUAUGUUAAUUUUAUAUUUUAAGAUUUAUGGGUAGUUUAAUACUGUGCAUAUUUUGGAUGAAAAAUAUGCAAGUUGCUUAAGGAAUUUUUAAUUAAGUUGCUACCCAUAUAAAUGUGUGAUUAAGUAUACUAAGUUUAAAUUGUUGCUAGGAAAGUUGUCGUGGAGGUGUGCCGAACGAAGUAUGUGACCGACAAAUAGGAAUAAUUAUACGCGUACGAAUCAAUAGUGAAGUAAUAUUCCACUAUAAUGAGGUGAGUAGGGGGUGUCAAUUUUAAAGAAUUCCGUAUAUAUAUACAUGUACAUAUAUUUUACGUGAAGUGCAAAAUUUACGGAAAACAUGCGUUGAUAGAAUUUUAAGGAAAUGUGGGUGUAAGUUAUUUUUAGAAAUCAUUUGAAAUAUAUAUAUAUAUAUAUUAGACGUAAAGUGUUUUAAACCGAGAAACAAGCUUUUCGAAAAGAUUUAUAUCAAAGGAAAUUGUGCCUUAUUGUUUGUGUG
rnacentral:lncRNA from 1 species